rnacentral:rRNA from 1 species
GAUCAUGGCUCAGGAUGAACGCUAGCUACAGGCUUAACACAUGCAAGUCGAGGGGAAACGACAUCGAAAGCUUGCUUUCGAUGGGCGUCGACCGGCGCACGGGUGAGUAACGCGUAUCCAACCUGCCCACCACUUGGGGAUAACCUUGCGAAAGUAAGACUAAUACCCGAUGAUAUCUCUAGAAGACAUCUGAAGGGGAUUAAAGAUUUAUCGGUGAUGGAUGGGGAUGCGUCUGAUUAGCUUGUUGGCGGGGUAACGGCCCACCAAGGCGACGAUCAGUAGGGGUUCUGAGAGGAAGGUCCCCCACAUUGGAACUGAGACACGGUCCAAACUCCUACGGGAGGCAGCAGUGAGGAAUAUUGGUCAAUGGGCGCAAGCCUGAACCAGCCAAGUAGCGUGCAGGAAGACGGCCCUAUGGGUUGUAAACUGCUUUCAGUCGGGAAUAAUUCGUCGGUCGUGACCGACGUUGCAGGUACCGUCAUAAGAAGGACCGGCUAAUUCCGUG